rnacentral:rRNA from 1 species
AUGGCGGCGGCAGAAGCGAGAGCUGCUUGGCAACGGGCCGCAAACCGCUGCUUAUUUCAGGAGGAUGCAAAGAGAGCUCCAAAACUGGCCUGCUGUCCACCGACAAUGCAACAGCAUGAAGCAAACAGCGGGAACCCCACCAGUCCGCGAGACUGCCACAUCCCGAAUUUCAUGCAUUUGAACUGGAACCCGAUGAACUCCAAUCAGCCAAUAGAUGCCUGGUUUCUUCAGCUGCAGCCCAAUUUCGGGUGCCACAAGGUGCUUUCUGGCGAGCAUCUGAAUUACAUGGGCGGAGAAGCCAAUGCCAAGAAAGUGGACAGUUUCUCGCCUGUCUCUACUCUUGACGACAUCAACACGAAGAAGAGCGAGUGCCCUUCUGAGCCACCGUGGAUGAUUUCGACGGCUUUUAUGAAGCAAACAUCUGAAGCACCUUGCGAAGGGUGCCCUCAAACGAGUCUCAAGUGCAGAGGAAAUUCCAAUAACUUCCUUCACGAGGAUAAAGAGGUUAUGGACUUCAAAACUUUUGAUCCUUUGUUUCCGAAGAAACCGAAGAAGGCAUGCUAUGAGAUGGAUCCACCUUGGGAACAAGACAGGAAGUCUCAGCCCUGGUGGCAAGUAGCUGACGAGGAAGGAUUGGCUUCGCUUGUUGCAGAAAGAGCAAUGCAGCACAUUGAGAACAAUGAUCUGCCAAAACCCACUCAGAUAGUGCGUAUUCAUGGGGCAAAAUUGAACGGCCAUGAAAACAAGGAUGGCUGUGGGAAUUCAUCUUCUUCUUCUGGUAAAGAGUCGCAGCCUCAACUUCACGACACUAUGAUGUGCAGCUAUAGCCUCUCAAGCACCAAUGAGAUGAAUUCAUCUGACGGUGGAGGCUGGCAACAGACUCGCAAAAAUGAUGCGCAUGGUAUAUUGUUAUUAUGUUAUUCCUGGAAAUACCUCAGGGGCACGCAGGAUUCAUAUAGUAGUGGUGAUCAUACACCAGGCAGCAAGCCCACAUAUCAGAAUCAGAAAGACGCCGAGAGGGCCCAGCUACUGGACGCUCUUCGCCAUUCGCAGACACGGGCUAGGGAAGCCGAGGUGGCUGCCAAGAAUGCUCAUGAUGAGAAAGACCAUGUCGUCAAGCUACUGUUUCGUCAGGCCUCGCACCUCUUUGCGUGUAAGCAGUGGCUGAAAAUGCUGCAGCUGGAGAACAUAUGCCUCCAGCUCAGGCUGAAAGAGCAUCAGAUAGCAGCCAUGUUCCCGGAGCUUCCCUGGACGGUGAUGAAGGAUGAGAAGGCCGAGCCAGAAGGGGAGCGAAAAGGCAGGGCAAAGAAGAAAGGCAGGAGGCAGAACAAGGAAGGUGGCUUCUGCAAGGCCAUCAUGUUUGCAGUUGGCGUAGGCAUCGUCGGCGCGGGAUUGCUCCUUGGCUGGACCUUUGGGUGGCUGCUGCCCAGGUUGUAA